CCCUUAGAUGUUCUGGGCCGCACGCGCGCUACAAUGAUGAAUUCAACGAGUUUAUAACCUUGGUUGAAAAGCCUGGGUAAUCUUUUGAACUUUCGUCGUGAUGGGGCUAGACCCUUGCAAUUAUUGGUCUCCAACGAGGAAUUCCUAGUAAACGCAAGUUAUCAGCUUGCAUUGAUUACGUCCCUGCCCUUUGUACACACCGCCCGUCGCACCUACCGAUUGGAUGGUCCGGUGAAAUCUUCGGAUUGAGACUUUGAUUUCUUCACGGAAAACGCUGUUUUAAAAAGUUGAUUAAACCUUACCAUUUAGAGGAAGGUGAAGUCGUAACA
rnacentral:rRNA from 1 species